UACGUAGGGGGCGAGCGUUGUCCGGAAUCAUUGGGCGUAAAGCGCGUGUAGGCGGCCCGGUAAGUCCGCUGUGAAAGUCCAGGGCUCAACCCUGGGAUGCCGGUGGAUACUGUCGGGCUCGAGUCCGGAAGAGGCGAGUGGAAUUCCUGGUGUAGCGGUGAAAUGCGCAGAUAUCAGGAGGAACACCAAUGGCGAAGGCAGCUCGCUGGGACGGUAGCUGACGCUGAGACGCGAAAGCGUGGGGAGCGAACAGG
rnacentral:rRNA from 1 species